GCAAUUGAAGAACGCCAGCAACGGCUGGCGCUAUAUGAAGAACCGUCAAGUGGACUGGUGUUGAAGUUCAAAUAUCCGAAUGGAUUCAUCAGAAAGAGAAAUUUCAAUGUGUCGGACCCAAUUCAGGUCUUGUUUGACUUUGUCGGACAAGAUGAAAUGGCAAGUGAAAUAUUCAGUGUUCAACAAGCAACAUCAUCCACACCAACUGAGAGUACCUCAUCAGGCUCACUUAUGGAUCAUGGCAUAACAACAUCUGCAACUUUGUACGUGCUUUGGAUUUCAACUCUAGAUAUUCAGGAAAAGUGUCCAGUUCAGGCGGAUGGAGUGCUGGAGCAGUCACUGUCUUCUGUCCAAAGUCUACAGACAUCGCUUUCUGACCAAG